rnacentral:rRNA from 1 species
UACGUAGGGGGCGAGCGUUGUCCGGAAUUACUGGGCGUAAAGGGUGCGUAGGCGGUUUGGUAAGUUGGAUGUGAAAUACCCGGGCUUAACUUGGGGGCUGCAUCCAAUACUGUCGGACUUGAGUGCAGGAGAGGAAAGCGGAAUUCCUAGUGUAGCGGUGAAAUGCGUAGAUAUUAGGAGGAACACCGGUGGCGAAGGCGGCUUUCUGGACUGUAACUGACGCUGAGGCACGAAAGCGUGGGGAGCAAAC